AGUUGCGCAAGUCCUGCUCCAUCUUCCUCUUUGCACUGGUCGGGAAGUAGUGCGCGAGAAGAAGCUCCUUGAACCUCGCCGAAGAGAUCGCUGCCAAGUCCGUGUUGGGGUUGUCCAGGAUAUCCAUCCACCAACGGUAGGCCUCGCCGUCCAGAAAGUGAGUGGCGAGCCACACUCUAUCCCUCUCCUCCACGAAGGUAUCUCGAAAAAGCUUCUCCAUGUGCAUCAACCACUUCUCAACAAUCCAGUGGUCGACGUUCUCGC
rnacentral:lncRNA from 1 species